CUUGCCCUCCGCCACGACCAGCAAACAGAAGACGGCGCCGAAUUCGGCGCCGUCUUCUGUUUGCUGGCUGACGCGGCACGUCAGC
rnacentral:pre_miRNA from 1 species